UACAGAGGGGGCAAGCGUUGUUCGGAAUUACUGGGCGUAAAGGGCGCGUAGGCGGCCCGCUAAGUCGAACGUGAAAUCCCCGAGCUCAACUCGGGAACUGCGUCUGAUACUGGAUGGCUUGAGUUUGGGAGAGGGAUGCGGAAUUCCAGGUGUAGCGGUGAAAUGCGUAGAUAUCUGGAGGAACACCGGUGGCGAAGGCGGCAUCCUGGACCAACACUGACACUGAUGAGCGAAAGCCAGGGGGAGCAAACGGG
rnacentral:rRNA from 1 species